rnacentral:rRNA from 1 species
GUCGCACGCUGGCGGCAGGCCUAACACAUGCAAGUCGAACGAGCGGCGGACGGGUGAGUAAUGUAUGGGGACUGCCCGAUAGAGGGGGAUAACUACUGGAAACGGUGGCUAAUACCGCAUACCAUCGGCUAACCCCUAUGGGAUUAGCUAGUAGGUAAGGUAACGGCUUACCUAGGCGACGAUCCCUAGCUGGUCUGAGAGGAUGAUCAGCCACACUGGGACUGAGACACGGCCCAGACUCCUACGGAGGCAGCAGUGGGGAAUAUUGCACAAUGGGCGCAAGCCUGAUGCAGCCAUGCCGCGUGUAUGAAGAAGGCCCUAGGGUUGUAAAGUACUUUCAGUCGGGAGGCGUUACCGGCAGAAGAAGCACCGGCUAACUCCGUGCCAGCAGCCGCGGUAAUAC